rnacentral:rRNA from 1 species
GACGAACGCUGGCGGCGUGCUUAACACAUGCAAGUCGAACGGAAAGGCCCUGCUUUUGUGGGGUGCUCGAGUGGCGAACGGGUGAGUAACACGUGAGUAACCUGCCCUUGACUUUGGGAUAACUUCAGGAAACUGGGGCUAAUACCGGAUAGGAGCUCCUGCUGCAUGGUGGGGGUUGGAAAGUUUCGGCGGUUGGGGAUGGACUCGCGGCUUAUCAGCUUGUUGGUGGGGUAGUGGCUUACCAAGGCUUUGACGGGUAGCCGGCCUGAGAGGGUGACCGGCCACAUUGGGACUGAGGUACGGCCCAGACUGCUACGGGAGGCAGCGGUGGGGAAUAGUGCACAAUGGGCGGAAGCCUGAUGCAGCAACGCCGCGUGCGGGAUGACGGCCUUCGGGUUGUAAACCGCUUUCGCCGGUGACGAAGCGUGAGUGACGGUAAUGGGUAAAGAAGCACCGGCUAACUACGUG